rnacentral:tRNA from 1 species
GGUCAUAGCUCAGUGGUAGAGUGCUUGUCCAACACGUGAGAGGCCUGGGUUCAAUCCUCAGCACCA